ACAAAGAUUUUGGUUCAUGAGGAUGAGUUGGAGCAGCCACCAUGUGCUCCUCACAACCAUCCCUAUUUUGCUGCUGGAAAAAUCUCAAUAAAAUUCCACCUGGGAAUGAGGAAACCCCAAAGAUUUUAGUGAGGAUUUUUUGUGAGAUUUUAGUGAAAUUCCACCUGAGAAUGAGGAAAACACAAAGAUUUUUUUUGUGUGAGAUUUUAGUGAAAUUCCACCUGGGAACGAGGAAAACCCAAAGAUUUAGCGAAAUUCCACCUGGGAACAAGGAAAACACAAAGAUUUUUGUGAGGAUUUUUUUGUGCGAUUUUAGUGAAAUUCCACCUGGGAAUGAGGAAAACCAAAGAUUUUUGUGAGGAUUUUUUUGGUGAGAUUUUAGCGAAAUUCCACCUGGGAACGAGGAAAACCCAAAGAUUUUUGUGAGGAUUUUUUUGGUGAGAUUUUAGCGAAAUUCCACCUGGGAAUGAGGAAAACCCAAAGAUUUUUGUGAGGAUUUUUUUUGGUGAGAUUUUAGUGAAAUUCCACCUGGGAAUGAGGAAAACCCAAAGAUUUUUGUGAGGAUUUUUUUGUGUGAGAUUUUAGUGAAAUUCCACUUGGGAACGAGGAAAACCCCAAAGAUUUUUGUGAGGAUGAGUUGACGAUGACCGCCCUGCACUCCCCAGGGCCAGCAUGAGCAUCCCUGAUUUUUGGUGGAAAAAUCCCAAUGAAAAUCCACCUGAGAAUGAGGAAAACACAAAGAUUUUUUUUGUGUGAGAUUUUAGUGAAAUUCCACCUGGGAAUGAGGAAAACCCAAAGAUUUUUGUGAGGAUUUUUUUUGGUGAGAUUUUAGCGAAAUUCCACCUGGGAACGAGGAAAACCCCAAAGAUUUUGGUUUUUGUGAGUUGGGGGUGACAAGGACAAAGCGCAGCCCUCCAUGGAGUGACACCAAAAUCCAGGAAAAAAUUCCCUCCUUCCCUCCCAGUGCCCCAGCAAUGUCCCACCUCAAACUGGUGUGGGAAACCCAAACUGGGGGAGAAACCAGGACUGGGCCACGUUUGGGUUGCGACACCAACUUCUCAUUUCUCAGGAGCUCGUGUCAGAUGUUUUCCUUCCUCAAACAAGGAGAAAAACACGGCCAAGACACCCAGAAAUCCCAAACUGAGCCCUGUGCCAGCUCCUGAGGAAGUGAAUUCCAUCCCAGGAUAAAUUCCUGCACUCCAAAGUUGAUUUUUUUGUUGUUUUUCUGGGGGAAUGUUUUCUCACAAAGGGCAUUUUUUUUUUUUUUUUUGACGCGCAAUUCGAUUUUGCAAAAUUCCCUGGAAGGAAUUUAGAGCUCGAUGGUUUUCUCUAUUUCCUAUCGAGAAAAAGGAAUCCGAAUCACUGGAUUUGCCUGCCAGGGAUUUUAUUUUUUAAUUUUUUCCUAGAAAGAGGAAUAAAUAUGGAAUUGCAUCAGUUUUGCAGCUCAUUUCACACCCAGCCCCCACCUGACAGUGCCAGCACUGAAAUCCAAACCCCCAGCUGGAAUCACGAGGAUGGAUUUGAUUAAAAAAAUAAAUAAAAUUCUUGGGAUGAUGCUGGAACAUCCCCUGCAAACUGACAAAAUCACACAAAGCACAGAGAACACUCCAAAAUUCCAGGCUUGAGUUUGGUUUGGAAUGGAUCAAAUUUGCCAAAAUCCAGGGAAAAUCUCCAAGAAUUUGGGAUCAGCUGCUGUUCCAUCACCACCAGGGCACGCUGAGAAACCUGGGAGAGGAGGUUUGGGUGGAGUUUUCCCAAAAUCCAAUGGAAUCCAGCAGCAAAUCCCUGAAUCUGCUGCCACAGAGCACCAGAGAGGGGAGGAAAAAAAAAUCCCCAAAAAUCCCCUCCACUUUUCCCAGCUCUGAAUUCCACCCAGAGCAGGAAUUCCUCAGGAAUGGGACCAGGAUUCCCUUGAGCUGACAGGGAAUCCCUUCUGUUCACUGCCUGACACCACAAUUUAGGAAAUCCAGCCUGGAUCCCACCAUUCCCACCUGGAUUUACAAAUCCCAGGAAGGAUUUUUUUCCUCACACCAAAAAAACUGCACCAAGGAUGUUUUUUUUUUUCCAGGUGGAAAAUAUUUUUUUCUCCAGUUGAAUUUCUGGAUGGAUGGGAAAUGUCUGGAUGUGGGAAGCUCUGGAUUGGUGUGGAAAAUACCAGAAUUAAGGAACAGUGGGCUGAAUCCAACCUGAAUUUGUUUUUCCUCAUGGAUGGGAAGAUCUCUCCCUGCUUUCCCUGGGGAUUUCACGGCUGCAGAUGGAUCUGGAGAAUUCUGAAGAAUUCUGGAGAAUUUUCCUGCUGUGCCAAGGGCAGCAAGGCCUUUCCCAAUGUUCCAACUGGAAGUUUUCCCUCUGCUCCACAAACCCCGAGCUGGUUUGGGUGGGAAAGACAAAAAUCCAUCAAAUUCCAGCCCCUCAGAGGCUGCUCCAAGCCCCAUCCUGGGACACUGCCAUGGACAGGGCAGGAUUUCUUCUUUUUCAUGGAGAAACCCCCUCCCAAUCCUUGGCUGGUUGGUUAAAGGUGUGAAAAUCACUUUUAGGAGUUGAAAAGCUGCAGGAAAGACUUUUGAGGGAAAAAAAAAAAAAGAAAAAGAAAAGAAAAAGCAUCCAAAAUAACAGGGUUGGAAUUUUGGGGGUCACUCUGAGGGGACGAUCCCGCUCACCUGAGGAAGAUUUUGGGUUGAAAAAGACGCAGAAAAGCGUCCAAGUGUUGGUCUGGGUGGCUGAGGAACCUCCACGUGGUGGGUGCAUCCCUCAGGAACACCGGGAUGGACUCCAGGAGAAUCCAGGAGAUCCCAGUGCUGCCCCAGGGCCUGGAGCUCCGCUUGUUGCUAUACCUCAUCCUUCCCUUUCCCUUGGAUCCUUCCCUUUCCCUUGGAUCCUUCCCUUUCCCUUGGAUCCUUCCCUUUCCCUUGGAUCCUUCCCUUUCCCUUGGAUCCUUCCCUUUCCCUUGGAUCCUUCCCUUUCCCUUGGAUCCUUCCCUUUCCCUUGGAUCCUUCCCUUUCCCUUGGAUCCUUCCCUUUUCCUUGGAUCCUUUCCUUUCCCUUUCCCUUGGAUCCUUCCCUUUCCCUUGGAUCCUUCCCUUUCCCUUGGAUCCUUCCCUUUCCCUUGGAUCCUUCCCUUUCCCUUGGAUCCUUCCCUUUCCCUUGGAUCCUUCCCUUUUCCUUGGAUCCUUCCCUUUUCCUUGGAUCCUUCCCUUUCCCUUGGAUCCUUCCCUUUUCCUUGGAUCCUUUCCCUUGGAUCCUUCCCUUUCCCUUGGAUCCUUCCCUUUCCCCACUUUUUCCAUUCCUUCAGGACCCAGAGCUUGUGCACUCGGACACAUCCAGGGUUUUAUUUUUGGGUUGGUUUUUUUUUUUGUUGUUGUUGUUUUUGUUUCCCUGUGGAAUGAAAAGCAAUCCAUGAUUGGGGUGGGCAGCUCCCAACCCUGCUCCCUUUGGGAUUUGAGCCCGAGGCAAGGGAAUCCCGGGGUGGGAGGGAUGAUCCAGAGGGAUCCUGGGGUGGGAGGGAUGAUCCAGAGGGAUCCUGGGGUGGGAGGGAUGAUCCAGAGGGAUCCUGGGGUUGGAGGGAUGAUCCAGAGGGAUCCCGGGGUUGGAGGGAUGAUCCAGAGGGAUCCCUGGGCCCCUUUUCCACCUUCCCUGUCUCCAGGGCUGCCCUGAGCCCCCCAAAACCUUCCCAGGGGUGGGCUCGGGGCUCGGCUCCGAAAUCCAGCGCUGCUCCCACCCUUGGGAGGGCAAAAAUCCCUGUCCAGAUCCCUUGGAGGGGCACAAUUCCCUGUCCAGGGUCCUUGGGCGGGAACAAAUCCUUUUCCAAUGCCCUUGGAGGGGGCACAAAUCCUUUUCCAAAUCCCUUGGAAGGGCACAAAUCCCUUUCCAAAUCCCUUUCCAAUGCCCUUGGAGGGGCACAAAUCCUUCUCCAAAGCCCUUGGAUGGGCACAAAUCCCUUUCCAAAUCCCUUGGAUGGGUACAAAUUCUUUUCCAAAUCCCUUGGAAGGGCACAAAUCCCUUUCCAAAGCCCUUGGAGGGGCACAAAUCCUUUUCCAAAGCCCUUGGAAGGGCACAAUUCCCUUUCCAAAGCCCUUGGAUGGGCACAAUUCCCUGUCCAAAGCCUUUGGAAAGGCACAAAUCCCUCUAAAUUCCUCUCCAAAGGCACUGGAAGGGCACAAUUCCCUCUCCAAAUCCCUUGGAAGGGCACAAAUCCCUUUCCAAUGCCCUUGGAGGGGCACAAAUCCUUCUCCAAAUCCCUUGGAAGGGCACAAAUCCCUUUCCAAUGCCCUUGGAGGGGCACCAAUGUUUUUCCAAUGCCCUUGGAAGGGCACAAAUCCCUUUCCAAUGCCCUCGGAAGGGCACAAAUCCCUUUCCAAAGCCUUUGGAAAGGCACAAAUCCCUCUCUAAAUUCCUCUCCAAAGGCAUUGGAUGGGCACAAAUCCCUUCCCAAAUCCCUUGGAAAGGCACAAAUCCCUUUCCAAUGCCCUUGGAGGGGCACCAAUGUUUUCCAAUGCCCUUGGAAAGGCACAAAUCCCUUUCCAAAGCCCUUGGAUGGGCACAAUUCCCUGUCCAAAGCCUUUGGAAAGGCACAAAUCCCUUGGAGGGGCACAAAUCCCUCUCUAAAUUCCUCUCCAAAGGCAUUGGAUGGGCACAAAUCCUUUUCCAAAGCCCUUGGAGGGACACAAAUCCUUUUCCAAAGCCCUUUGAAGGGCACAAAUCCCUUUCCAAUGCCCUUGGAUGGGCACAAUUCCCUCUCCAAAUCCCUUGGAAGGGCACAAAUCCCUUUCCAAUGCCCUCGGAAGGGCACAAAUCCCACCCCAGGGAAUAUCCCGAAGGAAUUCCCGACCCCAAGGGGGAGCCCCUGAAUGUUCAGAGCACUUUGCAGUUGGUGGCCUUGUUUUCUUAAAGGGCUUUGAUCUUUUCAUGAAAGGAGAGAAUCUUUCCCCAUCCCAUCAUCAUCAUCAUCAUCAUCAUCAUCAUCCUCCUCCUCCCCAGCUCGGAAUUCAUGCCUGGAAUGUUCAGGAUGGUCCAGGACUCUGGAAUCUGUCAUUAAUCCCUCAAAUUUUACACAUAAAAGGGGGAAAAAGAAAGUUGGGAAUUUCUCCUGGAAUUCAGGUUGGCAGCAGCACCAGGGAAAUAAAAAGGGGAAAAAAAAACUCUGAUGGAUUUUUAGGAGUGGGCAAAGGGAAGUUUGGGAGUGUUGAAACCAUGCAAAAAUUCUGGAUUUCCAUUCCAAAUGGAAGGGAUUUUAUCCAGAAUUAGAAAUCUUUCAACUCAGCUUCCCCCUAAAAAGUUUGAAGGGGAAUAAAAUGGUGGAAUUUCAGACUGGUUUGGAUCCAUUAAAAAUAAAAUAAAAGGGAAUAAGAGGGUGGGAAUGAUGAGGGAUUAAAGGCAAGGAGAGCUCUGACAGAAAUUCCAAACUCUUGGAAGCGGAGGCUGAAAGGAGGGACAGGGGGUGAAAGUGCAAAACCCCACAAGGAUUUGAAAAUCCUUCACAUUUUAGCCUCAAAUCCCCCAAAAUUUGCAUGAAAGGAGAGGGAGGGGGGAAGUGUCAGAGCUUAAUUAAGCACGAGUUAAUUGGCGCUGAAUGAGAAGGUGGACGGGAAGAUUUUCCUUGGGUAUUUCAGGGUUUCUGGGAGCAGAUUUUAGGAUUUCUGGGAGCAGAUUUUAGGAUUUCUGGGAGCAUCAUUGAACAAUUGACGCCCAGCUGGGUUUAAUGACAGAUUCCUCCCAUUCCACAACUCCACCCUCCCCAAAAAAUCACCGGCCAGGGGGGACCUGGAGCAUCCUUGGAGCCCCUCCAAGAGCAGGGGGAUGGGUUUGGGAUGGCGACAGAAAAGUGGGAAUAUUUCAAAAAAAAAAACGAGCAAAUGGGAUUUUCUACCUGUGUCCUGUCCCGUUUUCUAUGUGUGUGCGUGUGGUCCUUUCUUAAAUGUCAAACUCUUGUAUUUUUGUGGUUUCUAUCUGCGGGACUGACGGCUCUGAGGGCGCACGUUGUUUUGUAAAAUAUUCCUGACAUUUUUCCUCCCCCCCCAAAAAAAAAACCAACAAAACAAAGGGAGGAAAAGCUGAAUUAUUCACCUUUUAAUUGGCUUUGCAUGUACAGUAUUGGGGCAGCAAGUGGAGAUGAUUAAAGCCAGCUUGAAAACUU